GGAAGAACAAGAAAGUGGCAAAGAAAAAAGAGAGCUGGAUCUCCAUUAAAAUUGGAAGAUAGGUUGCUGGAAUUAAGAGAAAUUAUUAUUAUAUGAAUCAGAAAAACACUGAGGAAGAGAGUACUUGUGAGAUCCACUUUCAAUGGGAUAAAUACAGAUUACUGUCGGAAGAAGAUUUUUUUACAGUUAUUUCAAAUAGAUAUGAGAUUUGUUUUAUAGAUGAACUUCGUGGACGUCUAUUAGCAGAGCAAAUUUUCACGUAGGGGACAACAAGAGAGAAAAAUAUUUAUGCAUUUUGCAUAUAUAAAAAACUUUUUUAUAAAUUGAGAAAAAUUGUUUCUGGCCACCUCAAAAAUAAUUGUUCUUUUGGUUUAC
rnacentral:lncRNA from 1 species